CUACGGGGGGCAGCAGUGAGGAAUAUUGCACAAUGGGGGGAACCCUGAUGCAGCAACGCCGCGUGGAGGAUGACGCAUUUCGGUGUGUAAACUCCUUUUAUAUGUCAAGAAAAUGACGGUAGCAUAUGAAUAAGCACCGGCUAACUCCGUGCCAGCAGCCGCGGUAAUACGGAGGGUGCAAGCGUUACUCGGAAUCACUGGGUGUAAAGGACGCGUAGGCGGGUUGGAAAGUCAGGUGUGAAAUCCUACAGCUUAACUGUUGAACUGCACUUGAAACUUCUAAUCUAGAGUAUGGGAGGGGGAGAUGGAAUUAGUGGUGUAGGGGUAAAAUCCGUAGAUAUCACUAGGAAUACCUAAAGCGAAGGCGAUCUCCUGGAACAUUACUGACGCUAAGGCGUGAAAGCGUGGGGAGCAAACAGGAUUAGAUACCCCUGUAGUC
rnacentral:rRNA from 1 species